rnacentral:rRNA from 1 species
CACGUAGGGCGCAAGCGUUGUCCGGAAUUAUUGGGCGUAAAGAGCUCGUAGGCGGUCCGUCACGUCCGCUGUGAAAACCCAGGGCUCAACCCUGGGCUUGCAGUGGAUACGGGCAGACUAGAGGUAGGUAGGGGAGAAUGGAAUUCCCGGUGUAGCGGUGAAAUGCGCAGAUAUCGGAGGAACACCGGUGGCGAAGGCGGUCACUCGGCGUCCUAG